rnacentral:rRNA from 1 species
GAAUGCUGACAUAAGUAACGAUAAAGCGGGUGAAAAGCCCGCUCGCCGGAAGACCAAGGGUUCCUGUCCAACGUUAAUCGGGGCAGGGUGAGUCGACCCCUAAGGCGAGGCCGAAAGGCGUAGUCGAUGGGAAACGGGUUAAUAUUCCCGUACUUGGUGUUACUGCGAAGGGGGGACGGAGAAGGCUAUGUUGGCCGGGCGACGGUUGUCCCGGUUUAAGCGUGUAGGUGUGUGUUCCAGGUAAAUCCGGUUCACUUUAACACUGAGGCGUGACGACGAGGCACUACGGUGCUGAAGCAACAAAUGCCCUGCUUCCAGGAAAAGCCUCUAAGCAUCAGGUAACAUCAAAUCGUACCCCAAACCGACACAGGUGGUCAGGUAGAGAAUACCAAGGCGCUUGAGAGAACUCGGGUGAAGGAACUAGGCAAAAUGGUGCCGUAACUUCGGGAGAAGGCACGCUGACACGUAGGUGAAGUGAUUUACUCAUGGAGCUGAAGUCAGUCGAAGAUACCAGCUGGCUGCAACUGUUUAUUAAAAACACAGCACUGUGCAAACACGAAAGUGGACGUAUACGGUGUGACGCCUGCCCGGUGCCGGAAGGUUAAUUGAUGGGGUCAGCGCAAGCGAAGCUCCUGAUCGAAGCCCCGGUAAACGGCGGCCGUAACUAUAACGGUCCUAAGGUAGCGAAAUUCCUUGUCGGGUAAGUUCCGACCUGCACGAAUGGCGUAAUGAUGGCCAGGCUGUCUCCACCCGAGACUCAGUGAAAUUGAACUCGCUGUGAAGAUGCAGUGUACCCGCGGCAAGACGGAAAGACCCCGUGAACCUUUACUAUAGCUUGACACUGAACAUUGAGCCUUGAUGUGUAGGAUAGGUGGGAGGCUUUGAAGUGUGGACGCCAGUCUGCAUGGAGCCGACCUUGAAAUACCACCCUUUAAUGUUUGAUGUUCUAACGUGGACCCGUUACCCGGGUUGCGGACAGUGUCUGGUGGGUAGUUUGACUGGGGCGGUCUCCUCCUAAAGAGUAACGGAGGAGCACGAAGGUUGGCUAAUCCUGGUCGGACAUCAGGAGGUUAGUGCAAUGGCAUAAGCCAGCUUGACUGCGAGCGUGACGGCGCGAGCAGGUGCGAAAGCAGGUCAUAGUGAUCCGGUGGUUCUGAAUGGAAGGGCCAUCGCUCAACGGAUAAAAGGUACUCCGGGGAUAACAGGCUGAUACCGCCCAAGAGUUCAUAUCGACGGCGGUGUUUGGCACCUCGAUGUCGGCUCAUCACAUCCUGGGGCUGAAGUAGGUCCCAAGGGUAUGGCUGUUCGCCAUUUAAAGUGGUACGCGAGCUGGGUUUAGAACGUCGUGAGACAGUUCGGUCCCUAUCUGCCGUGGGCGCUGGAGAACUGAGGGGGGCUGCUCCUAGUACGAGAGGACCGGAGUGGACGCAUCACUGGUGUUCGGGUUGUCAUGCCAAUGGCACUGCCCGGUAGCUAAAUGCGGAAGAGAUAAGUGCUGAAAGCAUCUAAGCACGAAACUUGCCCCGAGAUGAGUUCUCCCUGAGACUUAAAGUCUCCUGAAGGAACGUUGAAGACGACGACGUUGAUAGGCCGGGUGUGUAAGCGCAGCGAUGCGUUGAGCUAACCGGUACUAAUGAAC